CAUAAAAUUGUUAUAACAGCAAUAUAGCGAGAGUACCAGUUUGACAGAAUAAAACAUAACCAAGGAUCAUUGAAAAUAAGGAUGCUUGCUAUAUUUAUGACUCCCCUAU